rnacentral:lncRNA from 1 species
UAUGAUUGGUUCGCUUUAACGCAUGACUUGAGGCCGCUGAAUAUAAAGCAGUUUCUAAUCUGUUCUGUGGUUAAGUUGUGUGUAGAGCAUUCAAGUUGUGUUUUUUAGCCGUAAAUUGGAUUCGCUCACUGUACUAUCAACUUCUAGUCAAGAAGGCCCUUUGCGAUCGCUAUCAACAUGAUUUUGCUGAAGUUCUUUCUUCUGUUUGCUUUUCUCCUGUGUUUGAUGGAACCUUGCCUCGUGGAAGCACAACGGGGUUGCCCACCGUCAUGCGUUUUUCGUGAAGGAUUAGGUCGUGAUAUCAGAUUAAAGGGAGGAGUUGAAGAGAAAGCCGAGCGCCUCAAUACCAGGGAGAGAAGAUCGCAUUUUUUAAUGCUGGAGAAACGUCGACCUUCCAUGGGAUGAAUAGCAGCAAGGGUGGAAAACUACAUCAGGAUUUCGAGAUAUUUUGAUCGGUUAUGCUCCGUUUGUUAACUUGAUGUUAUUUCUUGUAUGUGAAUCAAAGUAAUGGAGGUAUAAUAUUAUGGAAUAAUAUACUGGAUACCAUUUAACGAUCGAGGGUAUUAUAUUUUGAACCAAUCAACCACGGAAUAUAUUAAUAAAUAAAGGUAUAUAGAGGCAAUGAUCACUUACUCUUUGGUUAUAAACCCUAACUUAAAAUAGUAUGAAUACCUUCUCGAACGAUUUAAGGCUACCUGCAGUUACAUAUGUUUACACUUGGACUUCAGUAUCACGGAUAAUAGAAAGUCUUUUUUUUUUAGCCGGAAGCCGUUAACAGUUAGCGGUUAGCGAUAUGCUGCUAACUUGGUGUUCGUGGUUGUAGCGAAGGUCGUUUCUUCCUUUCUCGAAGGUAAAAUAAAGGAUAUUUGUUUACCUAUGAAAUCCUUUUAUGCUCCUUAUUUACCUAGUUAUUAAUAAUGAAUCUGUCCUGGCUUUGGACAGGUGAUCGCGAUUCGACAUCUAUUAGCAGAAAACCGCCUUUCAACCUCAUGCAGAACAGGUUUUUGUCCUCUUUUGCCCGGGACCCUGAUUGGCACCCACCCGAUUGCCCUCUUCUACGAGACUAGUCGCAGAUUUUUGGGUAUCCCCUCACCUUUGCUGGGAGCAGUGUCGUGCAGAUUUUAACACUGUUCGUUUUUUGUUACAUGUGUAACCAACAAUAAACGGCCACCUGUGUGGUCAAAAUAUGCCAGAGUGUGUCACGUCAUUUAGUUUCCCAGCAACCGAAGCUCAAUUGACGCAACGAGUGAGAGUUGUACAUGUCUUGUAAAAGUAAUGAGACAUAAAAUUCAUUUUUUCACUAGGUAUUGUCCGCGUGGUCGCCGUUGUCAUUGCUUAAGCUCUCUAUUUAUAUUCUGCUAACGUGAGCAGCAAGGUCGUACCCCGUCAACCGUGAGCUAUGAAUUGCUUGAUUAUGACUCAGUACUAUGGAAAUGGAAAACAUAUCAAGGUUUCAAAAAACAACAACAAUAACAACAACAAUAAUAAUAAUUUUGCUUUAAUCCCAAACUAGAGGUCUCGACCUUGAAAAUUGAAGGUAAGAUUAGGGUUGCGCGAGUCUUCGACGCUUCAGAGAUAUGCAUUAAGAUGAGUCAUGUGCGCAACGAUCACCUGCUCGAAUUCUAAGAGAUGGACAAUGACUUACGCGAUUCAAAGGAAGAAUCAAACGAUGGUGGAUAUACCAAACGUGUUAUUUCUUGUGUCGCGCUAGGAUAGAUAGGAUAAGUUAAUGACUGUUUUACAUUGGCCAGCAGAUAGAUAUUUGUAACUGCGGCGUCGAGGUCAGAACGCCGAUCACGCAAUUACAUCGGAGGACUCUAAGAUUGGUUCGCUUUAACGGAUGACUUGAGGCCGCUGAAUAUAAAGUAGUUGCUAGUCUGUUCUGUGGUUAAGUUGUGUGUAGAGUAUUGAAGUUGUGUUUUUUAGCCGUAAAUUGGAUUCGCUCACUGUACUGUAAGUAUAAGGAAUUCUGUGCGAUAUUAUAAAUGCUUCGUUCAAGUGAACCUAUAUCGUCUACACCUGCAAUAAACCGUUUCCGCUCGUUAGUAUAACCACAUGUUUACCUAAGCAUAGCUUGCAUGUAAACCUUGCCCGCUUUUCUGUUUAGUCAUAUUUGCCUGAAAAACGUUCGAUUCAAUUUAAGGGAAGCUUACUUCAUAUUCACUAACAUUCCUUUAGUUUUUUGAUUCACGUGAGAACGGACAAGCUUGGUGCGCUCGCUUCGAUGUGCAAUCCACCAAUACUUUUAGGGUGAAUGAAUACAUUAGCCAGUAAUUUGUAAUCAAACUUAGCCAGUACGAAAUAGAAAGGUCAUCUUCUUAAAUCAAAUAGCUGUAUCGGAAAAAAAUUAGAAUAUUCUCUAGCUUCAGUUAAUACCGUUGAGCAUGGCUACAACGAUCUCAUCUUGCUAUUCAUUGUUCAGAUCAACUUGUAGCCAGCAAGGCCCUUUACGAUCGCUAUCAACAUGCAUUUGCUGAAGUUCUUUCUUCUGUUCGCUUUUCUCCUGUGUUUGAUGGAACCUUGCCACGUGGAAGCACAACGUUGCCCACCGUUUUGCAUCUUUGGUGAAGGAUUUCCCGUGGUAUCAGAUUAAAGAGAGGAGUUGAAGAGAAAGCUGAGCGCCCCAAUGCGAGGGAGAAAAGAUCGCAUUUCUCGAUGUUGGAGAAACGUCAUCCUACCAAGGACUAAGGUCCAGCAAAGGACUCAUUGGGUGGAAAACUAAAUCAAGAUUUCAAGACAUUUUGAUCGUUUGUGCUUCAUUUAUCAACUUGAUGUUCUUUUUUUGUAUGCGAUAGGAACUGAAAGCGGCAUAAGAUUAUAUGGAACAAUAGACUAGAUAUCAUAUUUUACUCCAUGUUACUUUAAACCCGUGGACAUUGGGAUUAUUGAAUCAGUCAAGACGUCAAAGCAAUGAUCACGUUCUCUUUGAAUACACCUAACUGAGGAAACGUUGUCAAGAAAAAAUUAUAAACCAUGAACGAUACGACACAGUCGUUUACCUGGGAAACUUGCGAAAUGAUACUAAUUUGCAUCCGCACCGUGUACAUGCUUUAAAGUGGUUUACGGUUUAUUGUUACCUUGUUUAUGAUAUUGAAGAAAUUGCAGAUUGCUCGCAUCUGCAAUUAAUGUAAAUUUCCCUUUGUUUUCUAACUUAGCAACCAUUAGGAACCUUAGGAAGACAUGAACAGUUUCCAUGUUUUUCUAAAGGAUUGUGAUCUGUGACUGUGUCAUUUAAAUGCCACGAGGAAACAAUCUUGAAUAUUCAUGAUUGUGCACACGCUUCUUCAGUCUUCCGAUAAUUCCAUGAAGUCGUAUCGUUUAUGGUUUAUACUUUUCAUCCGACAACGUUCUUCCAAUCAGGUAUAUAUAGUGUAAAUACUCUCUAAAACGAUUUUUGUCUUCCGUAGCAAACAUGUUAAUUUCCGUUGCGGUAGCAUUCAGUAAUAUUCGAAUCAUUUCACGUAUGAAAUUGUAACGGAAAGAGAUAUUUGAAAAUAGUAAAAUUUAUUUUCUUUCUC